AAAAAAUUGCCUUCAAGUAUGAAAGUUGCAAAAUGUUAAACAAUGUAAAAAAAUGUUAUAAACAUUUUAACCUAAUUAUUAUGUUUGUGUUUCUGAACAGAUGGUGUUCUAUGUGUGCAAUAAUUUAAAGUAAAAAAUUACUAGGUUACUGCCACAGGAGCUCCUUUCUCUGAUGCUUAAUUCUCUGCUAUGUAUGAGAAGGAAGCUAGAAAGCAAGAUCCUCAUGGUCUGGAUUUGACUUUUGCAAGUUUUAUAUCUUAGGUUUAUUGUAGGUUUAAGGGAAAUGGGAGUAUGGAAAUUUCAAAGGUCAUAAGGAUGUUAGGUCUGUAGAAUGAAAAAUGUCACAGCUCCCAAAAGGCAGGAAAUCUGUAAGUUCUUAAAUUCACCCACAUAGAAAAAGUAGAGUAUGUAAAGACUCAGCAUCACCCUUCAGUGACACAUUUUAGCCUUAAAAUGCACUUUGUUCUGGACAAAAACAUGCAGAAAAACUGUGUAAGUGCUAUAGAGGGGUCGCAGUGAGUGGGUUACUAGGAAGGGGAAAUAGGUGGAAGGUAGGGAAAAGCAAAGGAAAAAAUAUGGAUAGAAAUAUAUGUUGUUAUGUUAUGUUAUGUUAUGUUAUGUUAUGUUAUAUGUUAUGCUAUAUGUCCUAAUACUACCCUUUACCUUCCACAUAACGUUGUGGGGGAUCUAUGGCAUCCCCAGGGCUUGGAAUUGCAACUUCUCAUCUAUUUCAGUGCUUUCAUUCUCCUGCUUCUUCCUACUCCUGACAUGCAGAGUCUAACCCUAUGCAGUUAUGCUUACCAAGAGCCUGGUUUUCAGUGAGUGAUGAAAAGCUUCCUAAACCUUUAAUAUGUUUGUUACUUUAGGGAGGGAUGCACAUGCAUUUCCAUAUUAAAGUACCUAUCAGAUUUAAUGUGAAUUAAAGUGUAGUAAGUAAAACCAAACAAGGCACUAACUUCUCCAGAGGACUUCUUUUUCUUGCUGUAGCAUCAGAUCAUAUCAACUUCUGUUCUUGUUUGUUGUAAGGCACUUUUAUACUACAUUGGCAGGACAAAAGUCUUCAGUAUUGUUUGGAAUAGAUCCCAUACCUCUUUAAACUUUGGAUCAGAUCAAAAGAAUAAUUCUGUAAAAACAACACUGUAUUUCUUCCACCUUCUAUUCAACUCCAGAGCCAAAGUAUUCAUCGCAUGAUGCUCUCCAGCUCAGUCUGCUGUCAGCAAUGCAGAGCCAUUACAGCAAUCAGAAGUAAUCUGCUUUAUCACCAGCAAAGCAGUUGCCAGGAAAAUUUCAGAUUACUGAGAUUUUUAUACUAAUUCAGUGAAAGUGUCCGUGGUAUUUAAAGCACAUCUUGAUUUUCAGUCCCAGAGUUGUAUUUUCAAGUGUAAAAUUUGGAUAGCUUACUUAGCAAUUUUGUUUUAUUGAGCAAACACAUACUUUGCACAAAUUAGGAAGGUUAAGUAUGAAACAUCAAGACAGCUUUUCUGCCGAGUAAAUUUUUCACCCAGGCACGUUUAGCCAAAAGCCAAAAUUUUAAGCUGAUUUUAAUUGCAUGUUGAUUUGUUAUGGAAUUAGCUGUGGACAAAGAGAAAUGUUUGAUCCUUGAGCCUUACCUCUGGAAUAUCUAAUGACCUUUUCUGUGCCAGUGCAACCACUUGUACUGUAUUCACACGACUCCCUCUGGUGGCUAACAUCUCCAUGCCAAGCGCGAUAGAGCAUCUUGCUUUUUUGUUUGCUUGGUUGGUUGGUUGGUUGGUUGAGUUUUUUGAUGUUGCACAUGAGUUACGGAUAUGCUGGUGGAUUCUCAGCUCAUCUGGACAGCGAAUAUGCUUUUAAAGUUUUUGUUUGAGCAACAAUAUCUCUUUUUCUAUUAAUUAUAUGUAUACCAAUUCAACUGAAUAAACAAACUACUGUUAAAUCUGCA
ensembl:lncRNA